rnacentral:rRNA from 1 species
AUGAACGCUGGCGGCGUGCCUAAUACAUGCAAGUCGAGCGAACAGACGAGGAGCUUGCUCCUCUGACGUUAGCGGCGGACGGGUGAGUAACACGUGGAUAACCUACCUAUAAGACUGGGAUAACUUCGGGAAACCGGAGCUAAUACCGGAUAAUAUAUUGAACCGCAUGGUUCAAUAGUGAAAGACGGUUUUGCUGUCACUUAUAGAUGGAUCCGCGCCGCAUUAGCUAGUUGGUAAGGUAACGGCUUACCAAGGCAACGAUGCGUAGCCGACCUGAGAGGGUGAUCGGCCACACUGGAACUGAGACACGGUCCAGACACCUACGGGAGGCAGCAGUAGGGAAUCUUCCGCAAUGGGCGAAAGCCUGACGGAGCAACGCCGCGUGAGUGAUGAAGGUCUUCGGAUCGUAAAACUCUGUUAUUAGGGAAGAACAAAUGUGUAAGUAACUAUGCACGUCUUGACGGUACCUAAUCAGAAAGCCACGGCUAACUACGUG